CGUCAUGUGACCCAGGUUCAUGUUACAAACUGAGUUCCAGAGCCUGGCUCAUGGAGAUGCUGAGGUCCUGGAAGCUCUGGGCCUAGGGAGAUGUCUGUGGAAGAUGUUACUUUCAGAACUGCCCACAAUAACUUGGACAACUUGGGCACCCAGUCCCUCACAUGGUAAGCUUUUAGGACCUGGUCAUGGUGGGUGGCUUUGCUGGGUUACAUCUGAGGCUUAGACACCUUCCAUGUGUUUUUCUUGGGACAUUUCCCUCCCUGAUCCCAGACACCAUGGUGUGAGGAAGUCCAGGCAACACAGGGAAGCCAUGAGUCAAGGUUCUGGCCGACAGCCCAGCUCAAGUCCCAACCACCAGCAGCGUUUGACUGCCACAUACGUCAGGGGAGAGCCUUCCGCUGGUCCCAGACAGAGCUGAGGAAGCCCUCAGAAACCACAGUGGA
rnacentral:lncRNA from 1 species